UGCCAUUUGGAUUUCAUUGCCCCCCUGGCGCACCCCCUAGACGGGGAACUGGGGGUGCUCCAUCAGGAACAUUUUACUCUUUUACAGAUCAUUUCCUGCAUUCUACGUGUCUUGACAUGGCUUAGGCCUGUGACUAGGGUGGACAAUAAAACCCACAGGUCAGGUGAUUUAGGUUCAGGUUUAGGUUCAGGUUUAAACAUUACAUGGACACUCACCAUUUGAUGACUGAGAGUUUUUUUUUGGGGGGGGGGGCAUUUAAAGUAUGCUAAUAUUUUGUAAAUAUAUUUUUUAGUUGGUUGUCACUUUGCUCAGACAGUGGGAAGGUUGUAAGCAGGAUCCCUGUUCUCUAGAAACAGUGGAAGGUUGUAAGCAGGAUCCCUGUUCUCUAGAAACAGUGGAAGGUUGGACGCAGGAUCCCUGUUCUCUAGAAACAGUGGGAAGGUUGGAAGCAGGAUCCCUGUUCUCUAGAAACUGUGGGAAGGUUGGAAGCAGGGAUCCCUGUUCUCUAGAAACAGUGGAAAGGUUGGAAGCAGGGAUCCCUGUUCUCUAGAACAGUGGGAAGGUUGGAAGCAGGGAUCCCUGUUUCUCUAAAACUGGGAAGGUUGGAAGCAGGGAUCCCUGUUCUCUAGAAACAGUGGAAGAUUGGAAGCAGGGAUCCCUGUUCUCUAGAACAGUGGGAAGU
rnacentral:lncRNA from 1 species